rnacentral:lncRNA from 1 species
UUGCCCAUUUUUUUCUGUGGCUCAGGAGAGCCAAGUAGAGGGCUUGGACAGCAGCCAUUAAGGCAUACUUGGGAGGCUUCUUUUAGGCAAGGUGAUUGCAUUUUUUUUUUCUUGUUUGUGCUCUCUCCUCAACAAUAUUGAUCUUUAUCGUUGGUUUCUGCCCUUUUGUUUGCUUUCUCUGUGUGGUCUCUUGGUUUCUUUUCAAUCAGCUGAGAUUGCUAGCUUGUGAGAAGCAUUUAUUGUCAUUAUUGAUAGCUCUUUGCCUAGCGUGGAGGUUUUUACUUUGUUUUAAACGUGAUGGGGACAGGGUGCCUCCCAAGCUCCACAAGGACAGGUUGAACAAGUCAGAGCUAGAAAAUAGAUUACUAUACGUUUUGUAUGUUUCACCAUGUUGACCUCGUAUGAUGUGGUUAUUUAUUAAUUAGCAGAAGCCGCAUUUCUUAGGCAUAACUGCUAGAUUUACUUAAUGUUUGGGGGAAAAAAAAUCAAUUUUGACAGCCAUGACUAUUGGGUACCCAUAUAAAUUUCAUUUUCAAACAGUAUCAGAAUGGUUGGAUGGUAUUUCUGGAAGAUCUUACUACUAUGAAUGGUAGAGGCAGAGGAUUGGAAAGCAACAAAUGUAAGUGGACGACAAAACAACCUUUAUGUUGGCCAGCAUUAUUGAUAAUGUCAGUGAAAGCUUCUUUUGAAUGCUUCCAAUUUCCUUCAGGUUUAAGGCUUUGAUGUUUAAGGAAAUAGGAAAGAAAGGCCCGCUCCAGCGCAUGGUGUGCAGUGCUCAUUUAUUGGGUGCCAUGUGUGUCCCUUCAAUCAUUUGCUAUGGAUGGUUCGGUUGCUUUGCCUGGUCCAAGUUUCUUUGUUGUGCUUGUUUUAUACUAAACUUGAAAUGGACAGUCCAGAUUUUAAUAUUAAUCAGACAAUGGAACAAUUCCAUGCUAGGUUAUGCUC